rnacentral:rRNA from 1 species
GCAAGUCGAGCGGAAACGACAACAUUGAAUAUUCGGAGGAUUUUUUGGGCGUCGAGCGGCGGACGGGUGAGUAAUGCCUAGGAAAUUGCCUUGAUGUGGGGGAUAACCAUUGGAAACGAUGGCUAAUAACGCAUAAUGCCUACGGGCCAAAGAGGGGGAUCUUCGGACCUCUCGCGUCAAGAUAUGCCUAGGUGGGAUUAGCUAGUUGGUGAGGUAAUGGCUCACCAAGGCGACGAUCCCUAGCUGGUCUGAGAGGAUGAUC